rnacentral:lncRNA from 1 species
CAACUGUAUAUCCUGACAUUUAUCAAAAUAAUCAUCAUGUAAUUGUCCCUGUUAUUCUUUUAAGAUCUUAAAAAGAUUCAUUCUAAUUUUAGUAGACGUUUAAUAGUUUUACCUUAGGUUUGAUCUAGACUUGUAUUCUUAGAACCGAGUGACUUUCGAGCUCUGAAUUUGUAAACUGCUUCCUUCAAUGACCUCCUGCCUUCACGGAAUUGUUACUAUUUUAGCUACUUGCUCUCACUGUAUCAACUUUUAAAGAAUAAAAUUCUAGACUUCUGUUAAAGAAAACUCUCUUUUUGCUAAAAUAAGAAGGAAACUUUCUAUUAGAUCUUUCAAGAAUCUAUGGGAAAAAGAUUUAGAAACUCAUAUUGAUAUCAAAAUAUUGGAAUUUUAUUUCUAUUAGGAUUGAUACAAGACUUAUAC